UGCCGGCGAGCGACGUUUGUCGAUACACGUUUGGAUUUUUUAAUUUGUGCCGUUUUAUUAAUUUAGCGUAAAUUUUGGUAUUUCGUUACUUUGAGUUCUAGUUCCAGUAAAAUGCCACGGAAACCGUGCUACUGGACACGUAGACUUGAGUUAGAUUUAGUAGAAUUUGUACGUCAGCGGGAUUUUAUAUGGAAGCCUAUCGGGAAUACAAAUCAUCAUAUUCAACAAAAAUACAAAGCGUACGCCGAGUUUGCUGCGACCCUGGGCCGAGGGUUUACUGCUCGUUCAGUCCGCGACCGUUGGGUGAACAUCCGCAGCACUUACAACCACAAUCUGCGGCGUGUGAACAAGUCAAGGGAAACAGCUAGGACUCAAGCCGAUGUGUAUGUUCCUUGUUGGCCUCUCUGGAAACCUUUGCAGUUCUUGAGAAGCGUUCCUGACAAAGACGAUGACUAUGAGGGCUAUCCUUCAGGACACACUGACUUGAAAGGACGUCUCUCUGGUAUCCAAGUUAAAGAAGAGUCUCAUUCAGAUGCUGAUGACACCCUAACCAUUCGUCAAAGAGGGCAGCGAACUGACAGACCACGCUGGAGGCCUAAAGUUAUCACUAAAACAAAAAACAGUAAAUGCAAGAGAGUAAUAGAAGAUUUAGUAAAAGCUAUGAAGCCCUUAAGAAAUAUGUCAACUUCAGAACAAGGAAUGCAAAGUUACUGGUUCUUUGGAAAGCAUGUCACUGAACGCUUAAAUUGUAUGAGCGAUAUAGAUGCAAAAAAUGCGAGGUGUAACAUUUUGAAGGUGUUGGAAGAAUUUGAUGGUGCGGAAGAUCUGUUGAGCACUCAAGAUGUUGAUAUGACCUGAUCACAGUGUGACGAAAUUUGAAUUACUUGGCUGCUUGAAAAAAGCAUACUUGGUUGAAGUUCAGACUACAACUUUUCUGUCUUCCUCUGUUAGGAAAUGUUCGACCUAUGUUUCUAGAAAGCAUCUCGCAUUUCUUUUUCUUGUUGUUUUCUCAUUGCUGAGGUUUGUGAUUGUAUGUCUUUUUUUCACUGGGAUGUUAAGUACUGAUUGUUGUAUAUGGACCCUACUUCCUGCGUGAUUUGACCCACAUUGCUUUAUUAAUCUUUACCCUAGAAGGUUUGUAGUUUAUUUCUUGUAGCUUUUUUAAACAGAAACUGUUGUUACCUAUUUGGUUUUUGUACUUAUCUGUCCCUAAUAUGCUAGUAUCAUUGUGUUGUUGAAAAUAUCCAAUGGAAAAUACUAAUAAAAAAAAAUAAUUUACAAACAGUCUAUCAAAGGAAGCAAUUAGUAGUUUGCAAAAUAUAAGCAACAUUUCUUAUUUGGUUUAAUUAUGUACUAAAAUGAGUAUUUAUUUUCAUAAUGAAGUUCUAAAUCAAUUUAAAAGGAUAGCAAUAAAACGAGUGACUGUAAAUUACAGUUCUAAGUGUCAAAAUUAAUUAAUUUGGGUUAUAGAAUUACUAAGUGAGCGACUGACUGCGAGUGACGAGAAAUCAACAGAACAGCAACUUAGAAACAUUAAUUUGAGUUACUUAAAAUACAUAAUGAGCAGCUUCAUAAUAUUUGAGCGACCUAAUAUUUGUUUGCGGGUCAACGUUACGUCCUGCAUUUUUUUAAAUAUUUGGCAAAUGUAUUUUUUAUACUGAGCGGCAUUUUAUCUUAAAUGAAGUGUUUCGAAUACAAAAACCACUUUGAAAAAUACACUGAUGAGCAGAGUAUAAUGAGCCCACAUUUAAUAAAAAACAAAAAUAAUAUGAAAUAACUAUUUGAAGAAACACUAUUCUAUUAGUUGAGAAAUUUUAUUAUCGAAAUAUAAGGGUAAUUAAAUAAAACAAUGGUGCUAAUUCCUGUAAAUACCAUCUAAUUUUAUUUUAAGUUAUAUCUGUCCUUUUCUUAUCCGCCGAAAAGGAAAGGGACGGGUAAUCGACAAGCAUAAAAUUUAUGGAACACACGUCAAUUUUAAGCACAAAUCUAAACCAACCGUCUAAAAAUUUUACAGUUAAGUAGACAGC
rnacentral:misc_RNA from 1 species